rnacentral:rRNA from 1 species
UACGAAGGGGGCUAGCGUUGCUCGGAAUCACUGGGCGUAAAGCGCACGUAGGCGGAUUGUUAAGUCGGGGGUGAAAUCCUGGAGCUCAACUCCAGAACUGCCUUCGAUACUGGCGAUCUCGAGUCCGGGAGAGGUGAGUGGAACUGCGAGUGUAGAGGUGAAAUUCGUAGAUAUUCGCAAGAACACCAGUGGCGAAGGCGGCUCACUGGCCCGGUACUGACGCUGAGGUGCGAAAGCGUGGGGAGCAAACAGG